CCUACGGGAGGCAGCAGUGGGGAAUUUUGGACAAUGGGCGCAAGCCUGAUCCAGCCAUGCCGCGUGCGGGAAGAAGGCCUUCGGGUUGUAAACCGCUUUUGUCAGGGAAGAAAAGGUUCUGGCUAAUACCUGGGACUCAUGACGGUACCUGAAGAAUAAGCACCGGCUAACUACGUGCCAGCAGCCGCGGUAAUACGUAGGGUGCAAGCGUUAAUCGGAAUUACUGGGCGUAAAGCGUGCGCAGGCGGUUAUGCAAGACAGAGGUGAAAUCCCCGGGCUCAACCUGGGAACUGCCUUUGUGACUGCAUAGCUAGAGUACGGUAGAGGGGGAUGGAAUUCCGCGUGUAGCAGUGAAAUGCGUAGAUAUGCGGAGGAACACCGAUGGCGAAGGCAAUCCCCUGGACCUGUACUGACGCUCAUGCACGAAAGCGUGGGGAGCAAACAGGAUUAGAUACCCUGGUAGUCCACGCCCUAAACCGAUGUCAACUGGUUGUUGGGAGGGUUUCUUCUCAGUAACGUAGCUAACGCGUGAGUUGACCGCCUGGGGAGGACGGCGCGAGUAGUUAACGUUAUAAGUUAGAGUUAGNGGCGNGNGACGNGCGACGGACGACGACGAGGGAGGAGG
rnacentral:rRNA from 1 species